AAGAAAAUAAUUUAAUUGGUAAAAUAUUGAUCUUCAAAAUCAACUAUAUAGGUUCAAAUCCUAUUUUUCUUG